rnacentral:lncRNA from 1 species
GAGUACAUGUUGGGCUCAGAAGAGAAAGAAGAAGAGUCAAAAGGGUAGUAAGAAGAGCAAGAAGAAGAAGAAGAAGUUGACGGAGGAGAAAGAGAAGAAGAAGAAGAGGAAAAGGGAGAAGAGGUAGUAGUAGGAGAGGAGGGCAAAGAAGAAGCACCUUUCAUAAAAGGUUCGAGUGCUUUCAUCAGCUCUUCCCUCAAGGGAUCUGAUGAUAAUGAGAAAACAGGAUUACUGUAACUGUAGAUAUCUAUAGCAGUUGCCAUAACUGAGAUCAAUAAUUCAAAAAAAAAAAAAAAAAAAGAGAUCUGAGCUGAAAAAAAGUUCGUGAAAAACUAACAACCAAGUCCUUGUGAACCAAAAAACUAAUGAAACAGGUGGUAGGAGAGGAAGAAAGAAAAGAAAAGGAUCAAACAGGUUUCAAAAUAAAGAACCUUUUGGUAUCCUUGAUAGUACUAGUAAUAUAUGUACCUUCAAGAAAAUGAAAGAUCAAGAAACCAAAACUCACCUGAGGGAUAGGGGAAAAAAAAAAAAGACCCUCUUAGUUGUUUUAAUCAAACUAGAAGCAAAAGAAGAGCUACAA